GACGAACGCUGGCGGCGUGCCUAAUACAUGCAAGUAGAACGCAGUUGCGAACGGGAGAGUAACGCGUAGGUAACUGCCUGGUAGCGGGGGAUAACUAUUGGAAACGAUAGCUAAUACCGCAUACUACCAGAUGGACCUGCGUUGUAUUAGCUAGUUGGUGAGGUAACGGCUCACCAAGGCAACGAUACAUAGCCGGGCUGGGAGGGUGAUCGGCCACACUGGGACUGAGACAAGGGUCAGACUCCCUCGGGGGGGAGCAGGAGGGGAACAUCGGCAAUGGGGGGAAAGCUGGACGAGCAACGCCGCGUGAGUGAAGGAGGGUUUCGGGGCGGAAAGCUCUGUUGUGAAGGAAGCGGUACUUACCCAAAAAGGGACGGCUAACUACGUGCCAGCAGCCGCGGUAAUAC
rnacentral:rRNA from 1 species